CGUAACGCAGUCAAAUUUUCUAUUGAAAUCAAAACACUAAACUUAAACAUUUAGGUAUAUUUGGUUAGUUCUAAGUCAGAUGACAAAAAGCAUACAAAAUGCUUUCUUUGACAGAAAGGAAUCUUAGCUCAGUUUCCUCCAAAAUGCUCUACCCAAAGGAAGCACUUUGCAAGGCAAAACGCUAAUGAACUUUAAGCAACUCAAAAUCAUAUUCCAACCAUGAAUCAGGUGAUACAUUUUUACCAUUCACUUCUAUUACCACGUCAGACAGAACACAUCAAACGAGAGACAACCAAACAGCAGCCUAAAGAAAGCUGAGAAAAAUGGGUUCCACUCAUCCAACAGUGCACAAUUUUCAUUUGCUAAAUUUGUGCUUGACUUUUCGUCAGCGCUCAAGAGAGAUACCAGGGAAAGUACAAAAUGUAUUCUGUUGCAUACCCCACUGGCAGCAGGAAAGCAAGUCUUCUUGUCACCAACUCACAUACCAUCAACACCAGCAUUCCAGGCCCCUAAGAAAUCUUUUCCACCUUUUCCCAGGUGCAGCUAUUUUGCCAUCUUUUUUCCCGUUUCCAACUCCUUUGUGACUAAUCCAUUUGGAAAGGAGACCUAAGCUGAGAUUGCUUCUCAUCACCAUUGUUGCCAUCAAUGUCCAUAACAGAUCUGUCCUUUGCUUUGUCCAUAUUCAAAGCCUCCCCAUCAUCCAGAGUUCUACCCUUUCUCUUCUUCUUUCUCUUCCGAGAGUGAUUUUCAUUAGCAGAUUGGUUAUUGUCAAACACCCUAUACACAUCAGACAGCAAAUUCUGCACACUACUACGAAAAACAAAAAAUACAGAUCCAUAGUAUACUUAGUCAUUUCUAAUGCAUGCAUUACCAGAAUCAAAUUCAUUUCCAAGAUCAUCAAUAGGAAAACAAAUGUAGAGGAACUGAACUAUGAGUCAUGCUCUUUAUCAUUCCAAUCAGCUGUUAAAUGUAAUACCCAUAUUCGUUUCUUACCCUAUUAUCUUAUACAACCAAAUGAAAUCUCCAGCAGGGGAAAAAAAUCAUGCUCUAUGGAAUUGUUGGAGCUUAUAAUUCCCAUAUUCUUUUGUUAUACUAUUAUAUUAAACCAUGAAAUUGAGGACCUAGUUCAAAUCUUCUAAUACACAUAACAAGGUUGCAUACACUUAAUUCCAAUGCCAAUAUUAUAAGGAUUCAUAAAAACUAUCAUCAGAAAGGUUCCAAACAAUACAAGUAUGCUCACACAAUAUUGGCUUGCCUCUGAUUUUCCUUAUUUUGCAGAGACCCAUCGCGUUCAAUGUGAUUAGACUUCAACUCUUCUUGGCUGGAUUGAUCCUCUUUGAUGACAUUGGUAUCCUUACCACUAUCAACUUCAAGGGUUUUAUCUUUUCUUUUUCUCUUUGGCUUUAAACCAUUUUCAGGGCCCACCUGAGUGGAAGGCAAUUGGGAAUUCCCUCGCAAGACAGCCUUACUCUCAUCAUUUUCUUGCUUCUCAUGUUCUUCAUUUUUCAACAAGACAUCUUGCUCUAUGUUUUCACCCUUAGCCUCAUCUGGCAGAGUCUUAUCAUCUCUAUGAACAAUGCCAUAGAAAGGAAUCUCAGCUUGAAGACCUUUUUCCUCCUUUGCAUGUUUUUUCUUUUUCUUACUAAACUUUGCAGCAAUUCCGUGAACCAAUUCAAUGCAAGGUGGUGAGAUUCCCUCAUCAUUUUCUUUCUUCUGAUUUUCGUCAUUUUCCAACAAGAUGUGUUGCUCUAUAUUUUCACCCUUAGCCUUAUCAUCUUCAUUGACAUUGGCAUGGAAAGGACUCCCAGCUUCAAGACCUUUUUCCUCCUUUGCCUGUUUUUUCUUCUUUUUCCCGGAUUCCGCAGGAAUUCCAUGAUCCAAUUCAAAGGAAGGUGGUGAGAAAUGCAACAUGAUAUCUCCCUUAUCAUUUUUCGUCCUCUGGUCUUCUUCAUUUGUUACGGCUAUAUCUUGACUUGAUUUGUCAGCUUUUGUCUCAUUUUGCUGGGCUUUAUCCCAUUUAAGGAUUGUGCCAAAGAAAAAAUCAUCUUCAAUUCCAGUUAUAAGCUGUUUCUCCUCUUUGGAUUGCUUCUUCCUUUUCUUCUUUGGCUUUACACCAUUCUCAGAGCCCACAUGAGCAGAAGGUAGGAUAGAUUCAUGUUGAUCAGGCUGCCUUUUCAACUCACUAUCUACAACAGCAUUUGCUUUUCGUUCUGCCAUUGUGGCAUAAUUGCCAUCAUCCUUCAUCUCGUUAAUUUUCUGACCUCUUUCUUUCUCAGCCUUUUCACUUGCUUCCGGACUUUUAUUCCUUUCAGCAGAUUUAUAGAAGGAAGAAAUUGUCAUCCUGUCAUCAGUUUCACUGUACAAUGCAGGCAUAGAAGUGCCACCAUUGGCAAAAGUAUGUUGCUGUGAAGUGUAGUCAUCGUCAGACUGACAGGGCAGGUACUUUUUCCUAAGUCGUCUAUUUUUAGCCUUCUCAUUCUUAAGUUUCCUCUUAUGCAACAUCUCCUCACCCACUCCAUCAAUAGAUACAGGAGAAGAUGGGAUGACCUCUGGAUCAGCAUCAUCAAUAAAACUAUCUUCAUACUCACCCUCAUCACUACCAUCAGUAGAUCUUUCUGUCUCUGUAUCUGCAAUAUCCUCUCCAUAGGAUUCUGACGCAUCAUCAGGAUUGUAGAGCCUACUCCCACCCAGAUAGUAACCAGUGAGGUGAACGCUUAUGGGGCCAAUAACUGAGAACACAACCUCAUCAGCCUCCUCGAAUUCCAGAUUCAAUUGGCAUGACUCGGACUGUUCAGGAAACAAAGAGCAAAGAAAAACAGGACUUCUUUUCCCCACAUUGCACUGAACCACACUCUUCUUCGUCCCAGUGCCAAUCCCUAACGUUGCCUGUGAAAUAUGGAGUCUUCCUCUUGCAUCAUCAGGUUUAAGGGUGAAUGGCUUUCCAGCUUUCACUUCCGUUCCCCAAAAAGCCAUUGCUUGGAAGGAACAGUAAGGGAUUCGUCUUCAAACUUAAAAAGCCUACCAGGGCCUGUAACCCCGAACGCAAGUAGCAAG
rnacentral:misc_RNA from 1 species